UGUUUCGGCUAGGGGGCCAUCCCGGCUUACCAACCCGAUGCAAACUGCGAAUACCGGAGAAUGUUAUCACGGGAGACACACGGCGGGUGCUAACGUCCGUCGUGAAGAGGGAAACAACCCAGACCGCCAGCUAAGGUCCCAAAGUCAUGGUUAAGUGGGAAACGAUGUGGGAAGGCCCAGACAGCCAGGAUGUUGGCUUAGAAGCAGCCAUCAUUUAAAGAAAGCGUAAUAGCUCACUGGUCGAGUCGGCCUGCGCGGAAGAUGUAACGGGGCUAAACCAUGCACCGAAGCUGCGGCAGCGACACUGUGUGUUGUUGGGUAGGGGAGCGUUCUGUAAGCCGUUGAAGGUGUGUCGUGAGGCAUGCUGGAGGUAUCAGAAGUGCGAAUGCUGACAUAAGUAACGAUAAAGCGGGUGAAAAGCCCGCUCGCCGGAAGACCAAGGGUUCCUGUCCAACGUUAAUCGGGGCAGGGUGAGUCGACCCCUAAGGCGAGGCCGAAAGGCGUAGUCGAUGGGAAACGGGUUAAUAUUCCCGUACUUGGUGUUACUGCGAAGGGGGGACGGAGAAGGCUAUGUUGGCCGGGCGACGGUUGUCCCGGUUUAAGCGUGUAGGUGUGUGUUCCAGGUAAAUCCGGUUCACUUUAACACUGAGGCGUGACGACGAGGCACUACGGUGCUGAAGCAACAAAUGCCCUGCUUCCAGGAAAAGCCUCUAAGCAUCAGGUAACAUCAAAUCGUACCCCAAACCGACACAGGUGGUCAGGUAGAGAAUACCAAGGCGCUUGAGAGAACUCGGGUGAAGGAACUAGGCAAAAUGGUGCCGUAACUUCGGGAGAAGGCACGCUGACACGUAGGUGAAGUGGUUUACCCAUGGAGCUGAAGUCAGUCGAAGAUACCAGCUGGCUGCAACUGUUUAUUAAAAACACAGCACUGUGCAAACACGAAAGUGGACGUAUACGGUGUGACGCCUGCCCGGUGCCGGAAGGUUAAUUGAUGGGGUCAGCGCAAGCGAAGCUCCUGAUCGAAGCCCCGGUAAACGGCGGCCGUAACUAUAACGGUCCUAAGGUAGCGAAAUUCCUUGUCGGGUAAGUUCCGACCUGCACGAAUGGCGUAAUGAUGGCCAGGCUGUCUCCACCCGAGACUCAGUGAAAUUGAACUCGCUGUGAAGAUGCAGUGUACCCGCGGCAAGACGGAAAGACCCCGUGAACCUUUACUAUAGCUUGACACUGAACAUUGAGCCUUGAUGUGUAGGAUAGGUGGGAGGCUUUGAAGCGUG
rnacentral:rRNA from 1 species